GACGAACGCUGGCGGCGUGCUUAACACAUGCAAGUCGAACGGUAAGGCCCUUCGGGGUACACGAGUGGCGAACGGGUGGGUAACACGUGGGUGAUCUGCCCUGCACUUCGGGAUAAGCCUGGGACACUGGGUCUAAUACCGGAUAGGACUCCGGACUGCAUGGUCUGGGGUGGAAAGCUUUUGCGGUGUGGGGUAUGGGCCCGCGGCCGAUCAGCUUGUUGGGGGGGUGAUGGCCUACCAAGGCGACGACGGGUAGCCGGCCUGGGAGGGUGACCGGCCACACUGGGACUGGGGUACGGCCUAGACUCCUACGGGAGGCAGCAGUGGGGAAUAUUGCACAAUGGGCGCAAGCCUGAUGCAGCGACGCCGCGUGAGUGAUGUCGGCCUUCGGGUUGUAAACCUCUUUCAGCAUCGACGAAGCGAAAGUGACGGUAGGUGCAGAAGAAGGACCGGCCAACUACGUGCCAGCCGCCGCCGUAA
rnacentral:rRNA from 1 species